AGUAACACGUGAGCAAUCUGCCCUGGACUCUGGGAUAAGCGUUGGAAACGACGUCUAAUACCGGAUACGCGACGCGAAGGCAUCUUCAGCGUCGGGAAAGAACUUCGGUCCAGGAUGAGCUCGCGGCCUAUCAGCUAGUUGGUGAGGUAACGGCCCACCAAGGCGACGACGGGUAGCCGGCCUGAGAGGGUGACCGGCCACACUGGGACUGAGACACGGCCCAG
rnacentral:rRNA from 1 species